GAUGAACGCUGGCGGCGUGCUUAACACAUGCAAGUCGAACGGAAAGGCCCAAGCUUGCUUGGGUACUCGAGUGGCGAACGGGUGAGUAACACGUGGGUGAUCUGCCCUGCACUUCGGGAUAAGCCUGGGAAACUGGGUCUAAUACCGGAUAGGACCACUUCUUGGAUGUUGUGGUGGAGAGUUUUUGGGGUUUGGGAUGGGCUCGCGGCUUAUCUGCUUGUGGGGGGGGUGUUGGCUUACAAAGGCGUCGUGGGGGAGCCGGCCCGAGAGGGGGACCGGCACAUUGGGGAUGAGGUACGGCCCAGAAUCCUACGGGGGGCAGGAGUGGGGAAAAAUGGACAAUGGGGGGGAGGCUGAAGCAGGGACGGCGGGUGGGGGAAGACGGGCUUCGGGUUGUAAAACCCUUUCGCUAGGGACGAAGCGGUUUGUGACGGUACCUGGAGAAGAAGCACCGGCUAACUACGUG
rnacentral:rRNA from 1 species